rnacentral:rRNA from 1 species
CACGUAUGCACCAAGCGUUGUCCGGAUUUAUUGGGCGUAAAGGGUGUGUAGGCGGUUUGAUAAGUCUUCUGUGAAAUCUACGGGCUUAGCCUGUAACGUGCAGAGGAAACUAUCAGGCUUGAGUGUCGGAGAGGAUAGGGGAAUUCCCGGUGUAGAGGUGAAAUUCGUAGAGAUCGGGAGGAACACCAGUGGCGAAGGCGCCUAUCUGGCUGACAACUGACGCUGAGACUCGAAAGCAUGGGGAGCAAACAGG